GCGUUUUAACUUUAAGUUUAAGCCUAAGUUUGACUUUGGUCAACAUUCUGAGUAAACGUGCUCGGAUGAGAAUUCUGUCAGCGUGGUUAGCUUUGGAAUGUCGAGUUUGGUCUAGAUUGACCCUUCUUUUGUGUCUGGAGGUUUUCGAUAUCUUUCCGAGCCCUUUUGUGGGUUUUGACUUAAAAUGGCUUUUGGAAGUGGGACUCACUUUUUAUCGAAAUGACCUCUGAUGGUAAUUUUG
rnacentral:lncRNA from 1 species